CCUCUUGCCCUGGACCCAAGAAAGACCAGAGUCCCUCUGGAAUUUUGACAUGUAUGGAUGUGUGGAGAAAAAACUUUGUUUUCCCAGGAAGUUUGGUCAUCUGGUCUGCCUUUAGGCUGCUGGUGGUUCUCUUCCCCUCCAUGUGGAAAAUACUGUCUGCAGUAGGAGCCUGGGAGUAUGGAGCUAAGGAGAGACACACAGAGGUGAGGAGGGACAGGUGGAAAGAGACUAUCUUCAUUCACACCAGCCAUUUGAGUGCUUAUCUGAACUGGGUUUCUUUCUGCACGUACAGACGAAAAACUACAGUUCACCUGGAAAGGCCAGAGAACUUGCAUCUGAGAGAUGCUGAUUAGCACUCAGGAAAUAUUUGUUGAAUGAAUUUCAGACUUUGCUUCUGCACGGACAGAAGGGAGCAAUACCCUCUCUUUUUUGUGAUCC
rnacentral:lncRNA from 1 species